rnacentral:sRNA from 1 species
UUCAUAAAAGUAACCAUAUUUGGGAGCUCUCUUGUCACCUUAUCAUGCUAAACAAUUUUGAAAUACAAACAAGUCAUUAUAGAAAACUUUGAUUGAAUUUGAAAGAAACUGAAUUGAUCGUAUGCAAAUAAUA